rnacentral:lncRNA from 1 species
CUAUACUCAUCAAAAUUUUUGACCUAAAUGCCCAUCUCUCAGAGCAUAACCAGCGGCUGUAAUUCCCAUCUCAACCCUUCCAACAUCCUCUUCUGCCCCUCCAAAAUUCUCUCCUCCUUCUACCCUUUUACCCGCGCACUUUCAAAUUAUUGUUAUUUUUUCUGGAUUUCGAUAUUCCUUCAAAACAAAUGAAUAAAUAUUAGAUUGUGUUUUCUAUAUUUUUAUUUAUGUUUUGAUGGGAUGAUUUUAGUUGAAUUAUUGACAAAUCGCUUUAUGUUUUUCCAAGAUUCUUCUAUUUCGAGUAUUUUUGCAGCUGGGUUCGGGCUGGGAACCGCUCUUGACUAGGACUUUAUGCGAAAUAGUGGAAUUUUCGUUUUUUGACAUUUAUCAGGUACUAUUUCAGUAUAUUAUCGAUACUUAAUCUUGCGAGUUUGAUUUUUUCCCCUUUUCUUUGUAUUAUUGAAAUUCUGGUGGUUAUUUGCUUACCUGCUAAAUGGGUUUCUUGAUUAUUGUUUUUUUUUCUUUUGAUUCAUGGGGCUUGAUUUUCUUGAAACAUGUGGGUUGUAAUUUAUACUUGAAACUACUCGUUAAACCUGUGGGGGAGUGUUACUGUUGUAGAAGUAUGUGAUGCUUGUUAUGCUUCUAUCUCGCGUGUAUUUGUAUUGAACACAGAACAUUGUUGGUGUUUGUGGGAAAUUGGUGAUUUAUUGAUUUCCACGACAGCAUAUCAAUUAAAGUCAUUAUGAAAAGAUGUUAUUGGUAUCCAUAAAUCUAUCCAUUGGUUGCCAUUUGUCGGAGUUCCAUACGUUGGAAAAGAAAAGAAAAUAGCCAUGUUAACUUAAAACGAUUGACUUUUGAGGGAAAAGGGUGAUUCCAUAUUGAUUUCCACACCGGCAUAGCAAUUAAAGUCAUUCGAAAAAGAAAUUAAUUUUUUUCCACUAAUGCAUUGCUUGCUGUGUGCUGGAUCUAUUAAUAGGAAAGGAAGAGUAAAUAUCCAUGUUGUUAACUUAAAAUGUUAGACUUGAUAUGUUAACUUUGCUGUACGGAGUUCUACUGUUGUAGAAGUACGCGACGUUUGUUAUGCUUAUUGAAAUUGUUUGUUUGCGGGGAAAAUGUUGUUUCUAUAUUGAUUUCUAUUCAGGCAUAUCAAUUAUUGUCACUACAAAAGAGAUGUCAUCUGUUUCCGUCGAUGCAUUCCUUGCCACUUGUUGUAGUUCUACUUGCUGGCAAAGCAAAGUAAAAUGUUUACCUUUGAUGUGUGAAGUUCUACUGUUGUAGAAGUACGUGACACUUGCUAUGUUUCUGGUUCAUGUGUAUUGAAAAUUGUACGUGUUUGCGGGAAAUAGUGGUUAGUAAUUAACAUCAUUAUCAAAAAUGUUAUUUGUUUUCACUAAUGCGUUGCCUGCCAUUUGUUGGAGUUCUGUUGAUUGGCAAAGCAUCACAAAUGUCAGCGUUAGCCUAAAAAUAUUAAACUUCAUAUGUUAUGUUUGCUGUCCAGAGUUUUACUGUUGUAGAAGUCCGUGAAGCUUGUUGCUUCUGUUUUGUGUGUAUUGAAAAUUGUUAUGUUUGCUGGAAAAUGGUGGUUCUAUAUUGUUUUUGGCCUGGAGUUUAAGUCAUUUUGAAAAAUCUGGUACUUGUUCCAUUAAUGCAUUGCUUGCUGUUUGUUUGAGUUCUAUUGAUUGCAGAGCAAAGCAAAUGUCCUUACUAAUGUAAAAUGUUUGACUUAAUAUAUUAUGUUUUCAUUGUGGAGUUUUACUGCUGUAGAAGUACAUGAUGCUUAUUAUGCUUCUAUUUGUGUGUUAAAAAUUAUUUGUGUUUGAAGGAAACAGGUAGUUCUAUAUCAAUUUCAAUGAUGCGUAGCAUUUUAAGUCAUUAUGAAUAAGAUGUUAUUUGUUAUCAUUAAUGCAUUGCUUGCCAGUUGUUGGGGUUAUACUGAUUGGCAAAGAAUAUAUCCUUGAUUGGCAAAGAAUAUAUCCUUGUUCACUUAUAUUGUUUGACCUAAUAUGUUAUGUUUGCUGUGCGGAGUUCUACUGUUUGUAGAAAUACGUGACACUUGUUAUUCUUCUAUUUCAUGUAUAUUGAAAAUUAUUUAUAUUUGCACGAAAAAUGGUGGUUCUAUAUUGAUUUCCACGUUGUCAUAGAAACUAAAGUCAUUGUGAAAAAAAUGUUAUAUGUUUCUAUUAAUGCGUUGCUUCCUGUUUGUUAGAGUUCUAUUGAGUGGCAUUGCAUAGCCAACAUCUGUGUUAACUUAUUUGACUUAUUUGUGUCUUUGAUAAUCUUUUACUGUAAAGUUUGUUAGAUUGUUUUCUAAAGCUUUGAUAAUAUGACAUUGUGAAUUAAGGCAGUUAUUUCAAGCUUGGGAGGAAAAUGGUGAACAACGAUUUGAUAUUUGGACAGAACCACAGUGUAUCUCUUAGUCAGAACCAGAUUAGUCAUAAUCACAAUGUGGCUAUGGCUCAAAACCAUGGUUUGGAGAUGGGCCAAACUCAUGACCACGAAGCAGGUUUGGGGAGGAGCCAUGAUAUCGAGGGCAUUGAUGAUCAUGGAUAUGAACACGAGAGUGGGGAAUUGUUGGAGCAAAAGCCUGAAGAUGAAGGCCAUGCGUCUUUACCUACAGAGAGCAAUGAGUUAGAUAUGUCCGAGCACAAUGAAUUGGUUGUAUCUGGGAACCAGGAACUUGACGAGAACAUGGAAUUAGCAGUUAUCCAGCAGGACUUGGGUAUUGAACCUAUGCAUGAUACGAGUGUUCAGCAUGGUCCUCUAGUAGUUACUCCCAAUCAUGUUCUUCAGGCACGUACUCUUGCUGUGAGCCCUAAUUACGAGCUUCACGUGGGACAAGAAUUUCCUGAUGUCAAAGCUUGUAGAAGGGCUUUGAGGGACACAGCUAUUGCCCUCCACUUUGAAUUGCAAACCAUAAAAUCAGAUAAAACUCGCUUUACUGCUAAAUGUGCCAAUGAGGGAUGCCCCUGGCGCAUUCAUGCUGCGAAGCUACCUGGUAUGCCGACUUUCACAAUCAGGACCAUCAACGACGACCAUACAUGUGGAGGUAUCACUCAUCUUGGCCAUCAGCAAGCCUCAGUUCAGUGGGUUGCCAAUUCAGUAGAGCAACGACUUCUUGAAAACCCCAAUUGCAAGCCGAAAGAGAUCUUGGAGGAAAUUCAUCGAGUUCAUGGCAUUGCUUUGUCAUACAAGCAAGCCUGGCGUGGAAAGGAACGUAUUAUGGCUGCUAUGCGUGGAUCCUUUGAAGAAGACUAUCGUCUCCUCCCACAGUACUGUGAGCAAGUAAAACGGACAAACCCAGGAAGUAUUGCCUCUGUUUAUGGAAAUCCCAAUGACAAUUGCUUCCAGCGCCUCUUUAUUUCUUUCCAGGCAUCCAUCUAUGGUUUUCUGAAUGCUUGUCGUCCACUGCUUGGGCUUGAUAGGACAUUUUUGAAGAGCAAAUAUCUUGGUACUUUACUUCUGGCCACUGGAUUUGAUGGGGAUGGUUACCUUUUUCCUUUGGCUUUUGGUGUUGUCGACGAGGAGAACGACGACAACUGGAUGUGGUUUCUCUCUGAACUUCAUAACCUGCUCGAGGUCAAUACAGAGAACAUGCCAAGGCUUACAAUUUUGUCAGAUAGGCAGAGGGGUAUCAUAGAUGGCGUGGAAGCAAAUUUCCCAACUGCUUUCCAUGGCUUUUGCAUGCGUCAUUUGAGUGAAAGCUUUCGUAAGGAAUUCAACAAUACAAUGCUGGUCAACCUUUUGUGGGAUGCUGCACAUGCUCUUACUGUCAUUGAUUUUGAAGCUAAAUUUUUAGAGAUUGAAGAGAUAUCUCAAGAUGCUGCAU